UCUGUAGGUGGAUAAUUAAGUCAGAGGUGAAAUCCUGCAGCUUAACUGUAGAAUUGCCUUUGAUACUGGUUAUCUUGAGUCAUUAUGAAGUGGUUAGAAUGUGUAGUGUAGCGGUGAAAUGCAUAGAUAUUACACAGAAUACCGAUUGCGAAGGCAGAUCACUAAUAAUGUACUGACACUGAUGGACGAAAGCGUGGGGAGCGAACAGGAUUAGAUACCCUGGUAGUCC
rnacentral:rRNA from 1 species